UACGAAGGGGGCUAGCGUUGCUCGGAAUGACUGGGCGUAAAGGGCGCGUAGGCGGUUCGUACAGUCAGACGUGAAAUUCCCGGGCUCAACCUGGGGGCUGCGUUUGAUACGUGCGGGCUUGAGUUCGGAAGAGGGUCGUGGAAUUCCCAGUGUAGAGGUGAAAUCGUAGUAUUGGGAAGAACACCGGUGGCGAAGGCGGCGACCUGGUCCGAUACUGACGCUGAGGCGCGAAAGCGUGGGGAGCAAACAGG
rnacentral:rRNA from 1 species